rnacentral:rRNA from 1 species
GACAGAGGGUGCAAACGUUGUUCGGAUUUACUGGGCGUAAAGCGCGUGUAGGCGGCUUGGCAAGUCGGAUGUGAAAGCCCACGGCUCAACCGUGGAAGCGCAUCCGAAACUGCUUCGCUCGAGUCUCGGAGAGGAAGGUGGAAUGCUUGGUGUAGAGGUGAAAUUCGUAGAUAUCAAGCAGAACACCUGCGGCGAAGGCGGCCCUCUGGACGAUGACUGACGCUGAGACGCGAAAGCGUGGGGAGCAAACAGG